AUGAACGCUGGCGGCGUGCCUCAUACAUGCCAGUCGAGCGAACAGAUAAGGAGCUUGCUCCUUUGACGUUAGCGGCGGACGGGUGAGUAACACGUGGGUAACCUACCUAUAAGACUGGGAUAACUUCGGGAAACCGGAGCUAAUACCGGAUAAUAUUUCGAACCGCAUGGUUCGAUAGUGGAAGAUGGUUUUGCUAUCACUUAUAGAUGGACCCGCGCCGUAUUAGCUAGUUGGUAAGGUAACGGCUUACCAAGGCGACGAUACGUAGCCGACCUGAGAGGGUGAUCGGCCACACUGGAACUGAGACACGGUCCAGACUCCUACGGGAGGCAGCAGUAGGGAAUCUUCCGCAAUGGGCGAAAGCCUGACGGAGCAACGCCGCGUGAGUGAUGAAGGUCUUCGGAUCGUAAAACUCUGUUAUUAGGGAAGAACAUACGUGUAAGUAACUGUGCACGUCUUGACGGUACCUAAUCAGAAAGCCACGGCUAACUACGUG
rnacentral:rRNA from 1 species